rnacentral:rRNA from 1 species
AACGAACGCUGGCGGCAUGCCUAACACAUGCAAGUCGAACGAGACCUUCGGGUCUAGUGGCGCACGGGUGCGUAACGCGUGGGAACCUGCCCUUAGGUUCGGAAUAACUCCCCGAAAGGGGUGCUAAUACCGGAUAAUGUCUUCGGACCAAAGAUUUAUCGCCUUUGGAUGGGCCCGCGUUGGAUUAGCUCGUUGGUAGGGUAAAAGCCUACCAAGGCGACGAUCCAUAGCUGGUCUGAGAGGAUGAUCAGCCACACUGGGACUGAGACACGGCCCAGACUCCUACGGGAGGCAGCAGCGGGGAAGAUUGGACAAUGGGCGAAAGCCUGAUCCAGCAAUGCCGCGUGAGUGAUGAAGGCCUUAGGGUUGUAAAGCUCUUUUACCCGGGAUGAUAAUGACAGUACCGGGAGAAUAAGCGCCGGCUAACUCCGUG